AUGGCUCAUUUCAUUUCAUGUCGCAAGACAACUGAUGCUCAUCAUGUGGCAAACAUAUUCUUUCGCGAAGUGGUCAGACUUCAUGUCGUUUCAAGGCCCAUCGUCUUAGACUGUCAUAGCAAGUUUCUUGCUGCAUUUUGGCCCACUUUGUGGAAACAAUUUAACACUUGCUUAAAAUUUUCUAGCACUGCUCAUCCACAAACAGAAGUCCUGAACAAAAUUUUGGGUAAUCUGUUUCGUUGGCAUUUUUGGAGAAAGAAAGGGACAAUAGGAUUUGACUUUAUCUCUUGCAGAGUUCUCAUACAAUAA
rnacentral:rRNA from 1 species